rnacentral:rRNA from 1 species
CCCUUAGAUGUUCUGGGCUGCACGCGUGCUACAAUGGCGUUUCCAGCAAGUCUGCGAACCCGAGAGGGCCAGCGGAUCUUCGAAUUGGCGUCGUGAUCGGGACAGUCGAUUGCAAUUAUUUGACUCAAACGAGGAAUUCCUUGCAAUCGCGAUUCAUCAUAUCGCGCUGAAUACGUCCCUGCCCUUUGUACACACCGCCCGUCGCUCCUACCGAUUGAGCGAUCCGGUAAAUGUUUUGGAUUGGUGCCGGGGCGGCUAGCUGCCGGUCGCUACGAAAUUUUGUGAACCUUAUCGCUUAGAGGAAGGAAAAGUCGUAACA